rnacentral:rRNA from 1 species
UACGGGGGGAGCAAGCGUUGUUCGGAUUUACUGGGCGUAAAGGGCGCGUAGGCGGCCACCGCAAGUCGAUUGUGAAAUCUCCGGGCUUAACCCGGAAAGGUCAACCGAUACUGCGGGGCUAGAGUGCGGAAGGGGCAACUGGAAUUCUUGGUGUAGCGGUGAAAUGCGUAGAUAUCAAGAGGAACACCUGCGGCGAAGGCGGGUUGCUGGGCCGACACUGACGCUGAUGCGCGAAAGCCAGGGGAGCAAACGGG